UACGGAGGGUGCAAGCGUUGCUCGGAAUCAUUGGGCGUAAAGCGCGUGUAGGCGGCCAACUAAGUCUGAUGUGAAAUCCCACGGCUCAACCGUGGAAGUGCACUCGAAACUGCGCAGCUAGAGUCCUGGAGAGGAAGGUGGAAUGCUUGGUGUAGAGGUGAAAUUCGUAGAUAUCAAGCGGAACACCGGUGGCGAAGGCGGCCUUCUGGACAGUGACUGACGCUGAGAUGCGAAAGCGUGGGGAGCAAACAGG
rnacentral:rRNA from 1 species